UUUCAUUACCUGCACCUAUAUAUAACAUCUCUCAUCUUCAUCUUCAUCGUUUUGUUUUUGUUUUCUGUUAUAAGAAUUUUCAUAUUUUAUGUUUUUAGUUAGAAAAUAUACUAAACAUUUAAUCUGUUUUGCAGCUAAUCUUACAAACAUAUCAACAAAUACACUCUCAAAUCUGGUGAGUUAUUGAAAUGGUCCAUAGUCUUUUAUUAUCUUCAUAAAUAUGAUUCUAAAUUCUUUUAUUAUUUACUAACUAAAUAUGUUCUAUAUCUUUAUAGUUAAAGAUUACUUUUUCAAUUUCAAUCUUCAUCUCUAUGGUAUGGAUGUAUCUCUUCAAACUUUGAUAGCUCAAUCUGCAUCAAAACUCCUAGAUAAUUCAUUUGAGCAGUGUUCAAAUGUACAAAAUUUUAUUUUUUAUGAUGAUAUAAGAGUUGUAUUUCUUAUACAAUUUCUGCUCAUCUUUUCUUUGUUAAUAACUACAAAAUAUUAAAUAUAUAGGAAUAAAUUUUGCAAUAUAUUGAAAAAUAUAGCCUUGAAUAUCAAAUCCUACUAAUAAGGAAAGUUAAAAUUUAUUCCUUUAACAACUUAUAUACUCGCUUACAUCUUCUCUAAUAAGGCAAAUUACGAAAUAUUCUCUAAACAUUUAAUACACGAUAGCUAAACGUUAUCUAUUCCUAUUAAAAAAAAAAAAAUCUAACAAGAGAAAGUUGCAAUUUCGGUAAGAUUGAGUACUAUAUUAUGUAUAACUAAUAUUGUAAACAAUCUAACCUUAUUUGUAUUUUUAAAUCUCAUAGAAUAUGCUUCAUAUAAACCCUAACAUAAAGACCUAACCAUAAACACUAUAAAUAUAACCUUCACUAUUUUACCGUAAGUCAUAACCAAAAACUAACUAUAUUUAUUUGCCUACACAAUUACAUUAGAUUUUAUGUUUAAUGACUAGGAAAACUUUGCUUGCUAACCGGAUAUGGUUGCUCUAAAAUAUUCAUUGAUCCUAAUUUCAGAUGUUUGGAUAAAAAGAACUACAUGUAAGUCACUCUCUUUACUUAAUUUUCCUAAAUGUAUAAAAAAAAUUAAGGUUUACUUAAUGAUUUUUUUUGUUGUUUUAUAGGAAUGCAUUUAAAGGUGAUGAUGAUGACGACUAUGAGCUUUAUGAGGAGAUUGUUGAAACAAACUUCCAAAUGUUUUUUAGUAUCAAAAAAUAGCAAACAUUCAUGUUUGAUUGUCCUUUCGUUUUUUUUUUUGUUUUGUACUUAUGACUUAUCAACAUCGUACAUUUUGUUAUAUUUCUACUAAUCAAACUAUCAAGUUAUUAAA
rnacentral:lncRNA from 1 species